UUUAUGUUGCAAAUAUCCCCUAGAAGAUGGUAUUGAUUCACUGUCUUGUCAGCAAUAUGAGAGUAAAGUGACCAGGUACUCAGAAAUAUCAGAAUUGUCCCCCCUCGACUUCCUGAGCACAACUGUUUGUUAUUUUUGAAAGACGUCUGACUAGGGCUCUGCCUGUGGGUGUUUAUCAUUCAAAAAUGUUUAUUUCCUCCUCUGCCAUGAACAUGGAAAGAAUAUACUUCACCGUAGCUUGAUUUGGGGUUUGGCCAUGCGGCCCAGGCAUGUCUGACCCUGUGCGUUCUCUCGUUCCUCUCACACCGCCAUGAAUACAGCUUCCCCUCUGAGGUAGGGUUUAGUUUUCACAGGAUGAAACAGCUGGGGCAGAUCUAGAGCCAAUCAGCAGCUUUGAGCUGCUCAGCUAACCCCAGCCUUUAUCAGCCACAAGUGAGUGAAAUUAGCACCUUGAUACUGUAUGUUACUGAAACAUACACCUGAUGCUGUAUGUUACUCGAUGCUGUAUGUUACUGUAACGUGGUGGUGGUUUAUUAUGCAACAAUAUCUGACUGACACACUGGUUACUGCCAAGAGUUGUGAGGAAGGAAAACCGGCCAGUCCUGGACAUAGCUGGGGCACGCUGCUCUAUCGCUGGCUCUUUGCACCAUUCUUUUGAGCUCACUAGGUGAAGAUGCAGCGUUCACUCUCUACCAUGUUAGAUCCCAGCAACAAGGCACCAUCUCUGGGGCAGAGGCUGAACUCGCCGCAGACACCGCGUCUUCCAGUCAUCUGGAUCUUCAACUUUCCAGUCUCCAGAACUACUGGCUAUGUUGAUUUAAACAAUCAAGAAUCAUUCUACCUACUUGAAAUGCUGAUUCACUAGUCCAUGCACACCGCCACAAUGUUGAAGUCAAACAAAAUGAUGAUGCUUUCAGGCAAAAUCAAUUCCCUUCCCUCUUUAAUCUGCCCUGUCCCUCACCUUCACACUGGCCUGUGGGGGAGUUCAAAGCGCCUUUAUCCAAUUGAGCACUGGAGGCCAGGCCACCUUGGUCUCCCAGUCAUCAACUGAAAUCAGAAUUUUGAUUCUGGUCCUGAUGAGACCCACCACUAACCACAGAGGUGAUCAGGGGCACUCACUUCGUCUCGGGGCAUCAGCU